UCUCCGUAGGUGAACCUGCGGAGGGAUCAUUACCGAGUUAUCCCCUCCCAACCCACUCCUAACCUAUUGAAGUGCCCAACCUCGUUGCACCGGGGGGCGACUCGGCCGCUCCGCCUGGCCCCCGAUUGCCUCAAAUCUAUCUUGUUAUUUUUCUUAUGAUUUAAAUGGUAAAGAAAUCAAAACUUUCAACAACGGAGCUCUUGGUUCUGGCAUCGAUGAAGAACGAAGCAGAUCGGAUAAGCACACUCCUGAACUCCAUUAACCAUUUGCCAUCUCUAA
rnacentral:misc_RNA from 1 species